rnacentral:rRNA from 1 species
UACGAGGGGGGCAAGCGUUGUUCGGAAUUAUUGGGCGUAAAGAGCUCGUAGGCGGUCUGUCGCGUCGGCUGUGAAAACCCGGGGCUCAACCCCGGGCCUGCAGUCGAUACGGGCAGACUAGAGUGCGGUAGGGGAGACUGGAAUUCCUGGUGUAGCGGUGAAAUGCGCAGAUAUCAGGAGGAACACCGGUGGCGAAGGCGGGUCUCUGGGCCGUAACUGACGCUGAGGCGCGAAAGCGUGGGGAGCAAACAGG